rnacentral:misc_RNA from 1 species
GAUGAAGAACGCAGCGAAAUGCGAUAAGUAGUGUGAAUUGCAGAAUUCAGUGAAUCAUCGAAUCUUUGAACGCACAUUGCGCCCCUUGGUAUCCCGAGGGGCAUGCCUGUUCGAGCGUCAUUUCACCACUCAAGCCUGGCUUGGUGUUGGGCGACGUCCCCUUUGGGGACGCGCCUCGAAACGCUCGGCGGCGUGGCACCGGCUUUAAGCGUAGCGGAAUCUUUCGCUUUGGAAGUCGGGGCCCCGUCUGCCGGAAGACCUACUCGCAAGGUUGACCUCGGAUCAGGCAGGGAUACCCGCUGAACUUAAGCAUAUCAAUAAGCGGAGGA